UACGGGGGGGGCAAGCGUUGUUCGGAAUUACUGGGCGUAAAGGGCUCGUAGGCGGCCAACUAAGUCAGACGUGAAAUCCCUCGGCUUAACCGGGGAACUGCGUCUGAUACUGGAUGGCUUGAGUUUGGGAGAGGGAUGCGGAAUUCCAGGUGUAGCGGUGAAAUGCGUAGAUAUCAGGAGGAACACCGAUGGCGAAGGCAGGUCUCUGGGCCCAUAACUGACGCUGAGAAGCGAAAGCAUGGGGAGCGAACAGG
rnacentral:rRNA from 1 species